rnacentral:rRNA from 1 species
GCAUAUCAAUAAGCGGAGGAAAAGAAACCAACCGGGAUUGCCUUAGUAACGGCGAGUGAAGCGGCAAAAGCUCAAAUUUGAAAUCUGGUACCUUCGGUGCCCGAGUUGUAAUUUGGAGAGGGCAACUUUGGGGCCGUUCCUUGUCUAUGUUCCUUGGAACAGGACGUCAUAGAGGGUGAGAAUCCCGUGUGGCGAGGAGUGCGGUUCUUUGUAAAGUGCCUUCGAAGAGUCGAGUUGUUUGGGAAUGCAGCUCUAAGUGGGUGGUAAAUUCCAUCUAAAGCUAAAUAUUGGCGAGAGACCGAUAGCGAACAAGUACAGUGAUGGAAAGAUGAAAAGAACUUUGAAAAGAGAGUGAAAAAGUACGUGAAAUUGUUGAAAGGGAAGGGCAUUUGAUCAGACAUGGUGUUUUGUGCCCUCUGCUCCUUGUGGGUAGGGGAAUCUCGCAUUUCACUGGGCCAGCAUCAGUUUUGGUGGCAGGAUAAAUCCAUAGGAAUGUAGCUUGCCUCGGUAAGUAUUAUAGCCUGUGGGAAUACUGCCAGCUGGGACUGGGGACUGCGACGUAAGUCAAGGAUGCUGGCAUAAUGGUUAUAUGCCGCCCGUCUUGAAACACGGACC